rnacentral:lncRNA from 1 species
UUCGCUGAAGUCCCGUUCUCUGUCACCGAAGACGAGUUUAAAGAAGGGACGGGGAAGGCUUCUUUUUUUCUUACCUGUUUUGCUGGGCUCGGGUUGAGAACCCCUUUUGUUCCGCAUGACUCCGGCCACUGUCCUCGGUGGCGUUGCGAUGGGGAUGCGGCGGAUGACGGUGGGGUUCCAAUAGCAGAGAAGGGGAAGCCC